AAAUCAGUUAUCGUUUAUUUGAUGGUACCUUACUACUUGGAUAACCGUGGUAAUUCUAGAGCUAAUACAUGCUAAAAACCUCGACUUCGGGAGGGGUGUAUUUAUUAGAUAAAAAACCAACGCCCUUCGGGGCUCUUUGGUGAUUCAUGAUAACUUAACGGAUCGCAUGGCCUUGCGCCGGCGACGGUUCAUUCAAAUUUCUGCCCUAUCAACUUUCGAUGGUAAGGUAUUGGCUUACCAUGGUUUCAACGGGUAACGGGGAAUUAGGGUUCGGUUCCGGAGAGGGAGCCUGAGAAACGGCUACCACAUCCAAGGAAGGCAGCAGGCGCGCAAAUUACCCAAUCCCGACACGGGGAGGUAGUGACAAUAAAUACUGAUACAGGGCUCUUUUGGGUCUUGUAAUUGGAAUGAGUACAAUUUAAACCCCUUAACGAGGAACAAUUGGAGGGCAAGUCUGGUGCCAGCAGCCGCGGUAAUUCCAGCUCCAAUAGCGUAUAUUAAAGUUGUUGCAGUUAAAAAGCUCGUAGUUGAACCUUGGGCCUGGCUGGCCGGUCCGCCUCACCGCGUGUACUGGUCCGGCCGGGCCUUUCCUUCUGGAGAGCCGCAUGCCCUUCACUGGGUGUGUUGGGGAACCAGGACUUUUACUUUGAAAAAAUUAGAGUGUUCAAAGCAGGCCUUUGCUCGAAUACAUUAGCAUGGAAUAAUAGAAUAGGACGUGCGGUCCUAUUUUGUUGGUUUCUAGGACCGCCGUAAUGAUUAAUAGGGAUAGUCGGGGGCAUCAGUAUUCAAUUGUCAGAGGUGAAAUUCUUGGAUUUAUUGAAGACUAACUACUGCGAAAGCAUUUGCCAAGGAUGUUUUCAUUAAUCAGUGAACGAAAGUUAGGGGAUCGAAGACGAUCAGAUACCGUCGUAGUCUUAACCGUAAACUAUGCCGACUAGGGAUCGGGCGAUGUUACU
rnacentral:rRNA from 1 species